rnacentral:rRNA from 1 species
CUCUUUUUUAAAUAGUAAAAAGUAGUCUCUGCUCAGUGAAAAUUUAAAUAGCCGCGGUAUUUUGACCGUGCUAAGGUAGCAUAGUAAUUUGUUUCAUAACUGGAAACUGGAAUGAAGGAGUUGACGAAAUUGAGGCUUUCUUAAAAAAUUUUUUGGAAAUUGAUAUUUGCUUUAAAAAGAGCAGUUGAAUUAAAGGGACGAUAAGACCCUAUAAAACUUUACUACAGCAGAAUUUUACUCUUCAAGAUAAAAAAAAUUUUGCUUUAGUUAAACUGGGGCGGUACUUAUUAUUUACUCAAAAAGAAAUAGAACAGAAAAUUUUUGGGUAGAAGGAUCUUUUGUUAAAGUGUAAAGAGAUAGAAUAAGUUACUUUAGGGAUAACAGCACAAUUUUUUUUUAUAGGCCUUAUAGAAGAGAAAGACUUGUGACCUCGAUGUUGAAUUUGAGGGUCCCUUUUCAAGCAGAAAUGAAAUAGGGGAGUCUGUUCGACUUUUAUUUCCUC